UACAGAGGGUGCGAGCGUUAAUCGGAAUUACUGGGCGUAAAGCGUGCGUUGACGGUUAUUUAAGUCGGGUGUGAAAGCCCCGGGCUCAACCUGGGAAUUGCAUUCGAGACUGAAUAGCUAGGGUACGGUAGAGGGAAGUGGAAUUUCCGGUGUAGCGGUGAAAUGCGUAGAUAUCGGAAGGAACAUCAGUGGCGAAAGCACUCUGCUGGGCCGACACUGACACUGAGAGACGAAAGCUAGGGGAGCAAAUGGG
rnacentral:rRNA from 1 species